AUGUGUGAGCUAGCGCGGCGCCACGGGCCGGUGAUGUCCCUCCGGCUCGGCGAGGUGCCCACGCUGGUGGUGUCGUCCCGGGAGGGUGCCCGCGAGCUGAUGAAGACCCAGGACUUGGCGUUCGCGACGCGGCCCCUGAACGCCACCAUGCGGGUGCUCACCGAUGGCGGCCGGGACAUCGUGUUCGCGCCGUACGGUGAGUACUGGCGCCAGCUCAGGAAGAUUGCCGUCUUAGAGCUGCUUUCGGCGCCACGCAUCCUGUCUUUCCGCGUCAUCCGUGAGGAGGAGGUCACCUCCAUGCUCCGCGAUAUCGCCCAGGCCACGGCUGCCGCGCGUCCUGUGGAACUGCGCGCACUCAUAUCCUCACUCGUCACCGAUAUCACAGCCCGCACUGUCAUGGGUGACCGCCAGUUCAAGGAGCGUGUCGUGUUCCUCGGCGCGCUUGACCACUCCGCGAAGCUCGCAGCGGGGUUCAACCCACCGGAUCUGUGGCCAUCGUCCAGGCUUAUUGGCUUUCUCAGCGGGGCCCUACGCCAUGCCAAGGAGUGUUGUGAUACUGGAAACGGCGUUUUCGACGCCAUCAUCCGCGGGAGGACCAUGGCAGGCCAGAAGGAGCACAACUUGCUCGAUGGUCUUCUAAGCAUGCAGAAAGAGGGCAGGAUCGAAAUGGACACCGUUAGAUCAGUCGUCUUGGAAGUAUUCAGCGUUGGCAAUGGCACGACAGCGACGGCGCUGGAGUGGGCGAUCACAGAGCUGGUCAGGAACCCUGAAGUGAUGCAGAAGGCGACAACCGAGGUCAGGCAAGCCUUCGAGGCCCGCGGCACCGUGGCAGAGCAUGCCCUUGGCAAGCUCCCCUACAUGCACCUCGUUAUCCGGGAGACGUUGCGGCUGCACACGCCCGUGCCGCUGCUCCUCCCGCGGCAGUGUCAGGAGCCGUGCCAAGUGCUCGGUUACGACGUGCCGCGGGGCACACAUGUGCUGGUGAAUGUCUGGGCACUGGCCCAUGACGAGCGCUAUUGGCCCGACGCACCCUACGAGUUUCGGCCCGAGCGAUUUGAGGGCGAGGCGGCUGUGGUGGACUUCAGGGGCACCGACUUCUCCUUCCUUCCAUUUGGCGCUGGCCGGAGGAUGUGCCCAGGGAUAGGCUUUGGCCUCGCCAUCAUCGAGCUCGCCCUCGCAAGCCUGCUAUUCCACUUUGACUGGGAGGGUCCACCACCGGCUGAGAUUGACAUGGCCGAGGAGUUUGGUCUAACGGUGCGGCGGAAGGCCGACCUCCUGCUGCGUCCUGUCCUUCGGGUGCCCGUCCCAAUAGUCUUGCCAGAAGGAAACCAUGAUUGUUAG
rnacentral:rRNA from 1 species